UUUGUACUGUGAAACUGCGAAUGGCUCAUUAAAUCAGUUAUAGUUUAUUUGAUGGUACAUUGCUACAUGGAUAACUGUGGUAAUUCUAGAGCUAAUACAUGCAAUCAAGCCCCGACUUACGGAGGGGUGUAUUUAUUAGAUAAAAAACCAUCGCGGUUCGCCGCUUCUUGGUGAUUCAUAAUAACUGUUCGAAUCGCAUGGCCUUGCGCCGGCGAUGCUUCAUUCAAAUAUCUGCCCUAUCAACUUUCGAUGGUAGGAUAGUGGCCUACCAUGGUUUCAACGGGUAACGGGGAAUAAGGGUUCGAUUCCGGAGAGGGAGCCUGAGAAACGGCUACCACAUCCAAGGAAGGCAGCAGGCGCGCAAAUUACCCAAUCCCGACACGGGGAGGUAGUGACAAUAAAUAACAAUAUAGGGCUCUUUUGGGUCUUAUAAUUGGAAUGAGUACAAUUUAAAUCCCUUAACGAGGAACAAUUGGAGGGCAAGUCUGGUGCCAGCAGACCA
rnacentral:rRNA from 1 species